rnacentral:rRNA from 1 species
UACGGAGGGUGCAAGCGUUAUCCGGAUUUACUGGGUUUAAAGGGUGCGUAGGUGGAUAAGAAAGUCAGUGGUGAAAUCUUCGGGCUUAACCCGGAAACUGCCAUUGAUACUAUCAGUCUUGAAUACCGUGGAGGUAAGCGGAAUAUGUCAUGUAGCGGUGAAAUGCUUAGAUAUGACAUAGAACACCAAUUGCGAAGGCAGCUUACUACCCGAAUAUUGACACUGAGGCACGAAAGCGUGGGGAUCAAACAGG